UAUUAAUAAGUAAGCACAAACCCCAGACAGAACAAACCCCAAGUACAGCAGCCAACAAAAAUCAGUCACCAGACUCAGAGGAAUUGAACAAAACAGGGUUGAUUUGAUGGGUGGCAGCAGCAGGAGGCAAAGAUGCGGCAGGUGUGGGUUGCAGCUGAUGGUUCCGUCGGAUUCCGAGACCUUCAGGUGCUCCGCCUGCCAAUCCAUCACAAAGGUUUCUCCCGUGUCUCCAAUUCGUGGUGCCAUCAACAAGCUAACCA
rnacentral:lncRNA from 1 species